GGACCUCAUAAAGUGCGUCGUAGUCCGGAUUGGAGUCUGCAACUCGACUCCAUGAAGUCGGAAUCGCUAGUAAUCGUGGAUCAGAAUGCCACGGUGAAUACGUUCCCGGGCCUUGUACACACCGCCCGUCACACCAUGGGAGUGGGUUGCAAAAGAAGUAGGUAGCUUAACCUUCGGGAGGGCGCUUACCACUUUGUGAUUCAUGACUGGGGUGAAGUCGUAACAAGGUAACCGUAGGGGAACCUGCGGUUGGAUCACCUCCUUACCUUAAAGAAGC
rnacentral:rRNA from 1 species